rnacentral:misc_RNA from 1 species
GUUAUCAGUUCAAAAUCUUACUAAUGCUUAUCAUGGGGGAGGGAGGGUUAUAAAAUGCUCAAAAUUGUGCUUACGUAAUUUAUGAACAGCCCCAUAAGUUCAGCAAAUCUCCCUAGUAAUAAACAGGCAACACCAGCUAAUCGGACAAUAUCGAAUUAAAAAAUUGUAUUUUCUUUAAACAUAGUAAUUAAUUAACAAAACUUACCAAUGAAAAGUAAUCUUGGUCUUAUUAUACGGUU